UACGGAGGGGGCUAGCGUUGUUCGGAAUUACUGGGCGUAAAGCGCGCGUAGGCGGCUUUGUAAGUUAGAGGUGAAAGCCCGGAGCUCAACUCCGGAACUGCCUUUAAGACUGCAUCGCUAGAAUUGUGGAGAGGUGAGUGGAAUUCCGAGUGUAGAGGUGAAAUUCGUAGAUAUUCGGAAGAACACCAGUGGCGAAGGCGGCUCACUGGUCCGGUACUGACGCUGAGGUGCGAAAGCGUGGGGAGCAAACAGG
rnacentral:rRNA from 1 species